rnacentral:rRNA from 1 species
GACGAACGCUGGCGGCGUGCUUAACACAUGCAAGUCGAACGGAAAGGCCCUGCUUUUGUGGGGUGCUCGAGUGGCGAACGGGUGAGUAACACGUGAGUAACCUGCCCUUGACUUUGGGAUAACUUCAGGAAACUGGGGCUAAUACCGGAUAGGAGCUCCUGCUGCAUGGUGGGGGUUGGAAAGUUUCGGCGGUUGGGGAUGGACUCGCGGCUUUUCAGCUUGUUGGUGGGGUAGUGGCUUACCAAGGCUUUGACGGGUAGCCGGCCUGAGAGGGUGACCGGCCACAUUGGUACUGAGAUACGGCCCAGACUCCUACGGGAGGCAGCAGUGGGGAAUAUUGCACAAUGGGCGGAAGCCUGAUGCAGCAACGCCGCGUGCGGGAUGACGGCCUUCGGGUUGUAAACCGCUUUCGCCUGUGACGAAGCGUGAGUGACGGUAAUGGGUAAAGAAGCACCGGCUAACUACGUG